rnacentral:rRNA from 1 species
UACGUAGGGUGCAAGCGUUGUCCGGAUUUAUUGGGCGUAAAGAGCUCGUAGGCGGUUUGGCAAGUCAGGUGUGAAAACUCCAGGCUCAACCUGGAGAUGCCACCUGAUACUGCUAUGACUUGAGUCUGGUAGGGGAGCACGGAAUUCCUGGUGUAGCGGUGAAAUGCGCAGAUAUCAGGAGGAACACCGGUGGCGAAGGCGGUGCUCUGGGCCAGUACUGACGCUGAGGAGCGAAAGCGUGGGGAGCAAACAGG